rnacentral:lncRNA from 1 species
CAGAGAUGAGAAACAACCAAUUGUCUGCAUUCUCUGUUAUGUGGUUGAAGAAAGAAUAGUGUUUUGAGAGUAGCUACUUUGAACUAGCUACUUGCUAUUAUUUUAUGAGAAUAGGGCUUAUGGCCUACACCAUCAUCAUGAGUGCCCCAUCAGAUGUCCCUGAUGGAAAUUGUUGACUCUUGAGACACAACACAGCUGUAGACAGCAUGCCUUUGAACCAGAAAAUAUUUGAGGACCUCUAGCCACUCUGGGGAAUGUGGUCUACUUCACAGUGUACAUGACUCAAGUGAGCAACUCAUCUGGAAACACCAUUAUGGAAGCAGCAAGCAGCAGCACUUAUCUGAGCAUCUUGAUUCCACAAGGUUUCAUCAAGCCGACACAGAAAAUUCACCAUGACAGAAGGCUGCCUGGAGGAAUGCAUCAGGGAGAGCGGCUUAGAGGCUAGCAUGGUACGUGGAUCACUUUGAGACUCCAACUACAUAUUAAACAUCUCC